rnacentral:tRNA from 1 species
GCCUCUGUAGUGUAGUGUUUGAUGGCUAGUGCUAUUAACGCAUUGUGGUUAGCAUACGAGACUGUCACUCUUGCGACCCGGGUUCGAACCCCGGCGGAGGCG